rnacentral:rRNA from 1 species
UACGAAGGGGGCUAGCGUUGCUCGGAAUGACUGGGCGUAAAGGGCGUGUAGGCGGUUUUGACAGUCAGAUGUGAAAUCCCCGGGCUUAACCUGGGAGCUGCAUUUGAGACGUUAAGACUAGAGUGUGAGAGAGGGUUGUGGAAUUCCCAGUGUAGAGGUGAAAUUCGUAGAUAUUGGGAAGAACACCGGUGGCGAAGGCGGCAACCUGGCUCAUUACUGACGCUGAGGCGCGAAAGCGUGGGGAGCAAACAGGAUUAGAUACCCUGGUAGUCCACGCUGUAAACGAUGUGUGCUAGAUGUUGGGUAACUUAGUUACUCAGUGUCGCAGUUAACGCGUUAAGCACACCGCCUGGGGAGUACGGCCGCAAGGUUGAA